rnacentral:rRNA from 1 species
UACGUAGGGGGCAAGCGUUGUCCGGAUUGACUGGGCGUAAAGCGCACGCAGGCGGUCGCGCGCGUGGGGUGUGAAAACUGGCGGCUUAACUGCCAGAGGCCAUCCCAUACGGCGCAACUCGAGCCAUGCAGAGGUCCACGGAAUUGCCGGUGUAGUGGUGAAAUGCGUAGACGGAUCGGCAGGAACACCCAGGGGGAAACCAGUGGACUGGGCAUGCGCUGACGCUCAGGGUGC